rnacentral:tRNA from 1 species
AGCGGUCGUGGGCUCGGCAACCCGCUUUCUCCGACAGAGCAGCAGCUGGAGCAGCUGACACUGGAGAGGUUCCACGCCUUCCACCGCCGC